GAGCCGGAACGCGGGAGGCGGGCGGAGGGGAGACGCGGGGAGGCCAGCCGGCGGGGAGAGUGGCGAGUAGGAAGGCCCUGACCGUGACGCCGUCUUAGUCCAACGCCGGUUUCUUUUUCUUUGCGCAAUGCCUUGAGGUUUCCCCUAAUUCGCUGGAACCAAUUUGGGGGAACUGGCCUGAUCCUUGCAGUUUCGUCGCCAACCUCAAGCCAGAAGGCCUACUUGCUCGCAUCCCCUUCUCUUUUUGGGAGCAGAAUUCAGUGUUCUCCGUGUCCGCCGCUGAGAGGGCUGCAGGCCCCUGGGGUUAAGAGGGGCGAGGAUCGAAGGCAACGGCCCGAUCGCAGAGGAGCUGGGACUCGCUUCUGAGAGCUCCGAGGACUGGCACGGAAUUCUCCGUCCUAACAUCCCUGUGGAAAUUGCCGUUUGUCCCAUUUAGCCUGCAACCUCGGUCCUUUCCCUUCCCCCACCAACAUUUCUGGGACUCAAGUUGUUGUGUUUCUCCUACUCCCUUCGACGAGGGAGCACAAUUAUAUUUCUACUUCGUCCGCAUUUGUGGAAAGAGGAAUGGGUGUUAGCCUCCUUACGCUGCGCCCGGGACCACUCUAAAGAGCCCAUGUCUUUGCGUAUUUGUGGGGAACGGUGCAGUAACGGGUUGGAUUUGUACGCAUUCUAUGCACAGUUAUAUGCACAUAAAAUGUAAAACACCGGGCGGAUGUCGAUGUCAAUAUUUUAACAGAAUCUUAGAAUGGGCGGGGAACAACUUAACGUUUUGUAUUAAGUGCCAAGAUUUCAACUGUGCAAAACAGUCCGGGGGAACAGCUGUUGUCGGAAGAAUUUUGCGCGCGCGCGCACACACACACACACACACUCAGGCUACGCUCACUGCUUGGUUUAGCGCUUCAGAAACUUUCCAGCCAGGAUUUGUAAAACUUUUCGGGAGGUGCUCCUGCUGACCAGCUAGGGCUGGGGAGUAGAUUUGGGUCAGAGCGCCGGCAAGUCGGAAGGGGGCGGCGGACCGUAAAGAGAUGAGGGCGGCCGCAGGCCCACGAGCUUGGGGACCCAGCUUGAGGCCCAGGAAGGAGCUUGGGGGCUGGAAAACUGGCCGAUCCAAGGAGAGACAGCUGUCGCUUACAUUUUCUCUUUCGGCAGUGACAGUUCAAUUUCCAUGCUCCCGAGGCUAAUAAUAACGCGAUUAGCGGGUGACCUGCAGAGACAGAGUUUUAUGAAUUCUCCAUGUUCUUGUGGCCGGUUACGGUAUUUGGGUUUAGUGCUGGGGAAUUAUUUUUAUUAGUCGAUGAAAAGAAAAUUAAAAGGAGAUUUAUUUCGUCCGCUCAAGCCUUUCCCUGUAUUUGGAUGCGGGUGCCUGUCCACGCGGACCCCUGUGUGGGCAAUCCAGAAAGGAACGCGUGGCUAAUGUGUGUUUCCCAUCUCUGGACAGACCCUAUUUCCUCACCGCACUUAUUUGUUGUCAAAAUCUCCUUUGGGCCUUCACACAGUUUAGUGGAAGUUCUUUCAGGUCUUAGGACAGCUCAUAAUUGGGGAGGUUAUUUUAUUUUAUUUUUGCGAUGGUGGAAAAGGGAGAAGUUACUUAACUGAGUAUGCAGACGCUCUGUCCUGUCCUCCGGUACUUUUCUCUGGGAGAGGGGAUACAGGUCAUAGGGAGCUGGUGUAGGGUCGCGUGUCCAAAAGGAUCAACACUCGGAUCAUAAUAGGGGACUCAGCUGGCAGUUUUCUUUCUGAAGUUCUUCUCAGAAAAUAAUGAGGAGAGAAAAAUGAAGAUUUGAAACAAGGAGAGACCAGUUCAGGGAUGUGAACAGGAGGACCUGGUGUCCAGAAUGCUGUUUCCUCGAUCCUCCAGGAUGGGGGUAGGGGUUGAGGACCUAAUAGAGAACUUUACCUGACAGAGAGUUGAGGUAAUGAGUUCCCAUUACCUUUAUAACUUUUUUUUUAAAGGGCCUUUGGGUUAGAGAAAACGAAAUAUGUUUGUGGGGCAAAGGUCCAGGAGGAGGAAAUAGCUGGAAGCCAAGAGCACUGGAGGUGCCUUUUUCAGAGCCGGGCUGCAUCCUGCUGAGCCUCGUUCGGUGGUGGACCAGGGGAAUCUCCAAGGUCCCUGCAGUGGCCAAGACUCUUAGGACCAGGACAAACAGGAUGUAGGAUGAAAAACAGAUCUUUCAUUCAAAGAGCGCUCCGAUGUGGAGGCUUUGCAGUCAGGGGAGUGGAGGAGGCAGAGCUUUGGGCUUUGAGCCUGGAGGGUAACACUGGAGGGCUUGGGGUUCCUUUUAGACCUUUCUUUUUGUCUUUAAUACAGACCCCUAACAAUACAAAGGCAGGGCCACGUGUAAAGAUGUGUGUAUGGUGGAGGCGGGAAAGGGGGCGCAGGGACUCCCAUCAUGCCCAGGGCCGUGUCUCUGCCCGGCUGGGCCUUGCCAUUGUCUUUAAACUUUCUUCUCCCAAUUAGCACAAGAGGGGCUGGACUCACUGUGGGGCUCAGCUGCCCUAGGCCGAUGAGAAAUCAGGAACAGGAAAAAACCCCACCACGACAAGAAUAUUACCAAGGGCCUGGGGGAAUUAAACAAACAUGCACACGUACACUGGCCAUCCGCCUUAGAUCAGCUGUAUUUAUCAUUCUCUAUUUAUCAUUCUCUCUGACCCGUACCAUCAUUUCAGCCCUCCCUCAAAAUCCCGGCAUCUACAGGUAACUUAGGGGUCCGAUUUUAAUGCUCAGCUUUUAUUUAUUUAUUUAUUUUUUCCUCAAAGACGUGGCUUUUGCUUUUUCACAGCCCGUUUUUCUUUCGGCGUCCGGACAGAGCUGGCUUUAGUUGGCGCCGAGCGCGCCCGCAGCCUGGGGCGCCAACCUGCAGCAGCGGGGGACCGGCCCGGCCUGCUCGCUGUAGGUCUUCACACAUCAGAGGACACACAGUAUGUAUUUCAAAAUUUUCCACCAAGCCUGGUGGUUCCCCGCCUCCCCCAGACCCUGAGGCUCUCAGGGCCCUGGAGGAGGGCCUGCGAGGUACCCUCAUUUUCACACCAAGGCCAGCGCUCUAGUCUUUCGGAGAAGCCGCCAGGAAACUCAGCCUCUGCGGGCUGGGGAGGGUCUCAAAACCCGUCUCCGAAAAGCCUGGCUCUCGGGUUGGCUUGCCCGCCGCCUCUCACACAACAGCAACGGAGGAAACUUUGGAGCCACGAUCGCCGGGAACAGCUGCUCCGGCGGCUGCGGCCUUGGAAGUGUAUUUCGGGCACGCGGCGGCGCCAUCUGCGUUCGGACCGCAGCCUCUGCUCCACCCGGCUUCCCCAGCUCCGGUUUGGGCCUUUCCCGCCCAAAUCCACAGCCCAGUGCGACCGAAGCCCGAUCCCCCGCGGAGAAAAAUAAUUUAAACCUUCUGCGAAGGGAUUUCCCCCUCCGAAGCCCGUAGGCCUGAGCCUCUGCAGCCAAGGCGUUCGGCGGCGGCCUGAGGAGGUGGCGACGCACGCGGGUGGGCACACAAAGCAGGCACACCCAAUAACGCCAGGGAGAUCCGCACGCACGUGCACUCACGUCCGGCGCUCGCGUUCUCCCAGGCGGCCGGCUGCGCAACCUGUAGUAGAAUAAGACAAGAAAAAGCCCUCGCAGUUCCCAGGGCCCUUGCUUCCUUCGAAUUAUCAAAAUUAACUUGUCACGGGGAUUAAUCUGCCAGUUUAUGGUUUGUUCGCUCAGAGUAGAACUCCAAGAUUUAAAACAGAGGAAAUGAUUCUUCACUUAUGUUUAAGUAACGAGGAAAAGCGAUGCGUUUGAGACUGUGGGGGAGAAUAUACUUGUGCAAGGCAAGCACCAGCCAGGGCGCAGGCCGCGGCUUGGACUCUAGUGUUAGGGUAGGAGGCGCGCGGCGCAAGACGCUUAAAGGUCUUUCUCCGGAAGAACUUCUGUUCCUUGGUGGUGCGUGCGUCCCGACGCCCGUGCAGGCCUAGAGGUGCAGGCUCUGCGCCCUGCAAAGAAGCCAAGUGUGGGGCCUUCUGAACGUGACCUGGGUGUCAGGUCAAAACAGUCUUCCACUGUGGCUGCCUCUUUGGUAAAUGACAUUGUGUCACGAAUCCGAAAGGGAGUGAAGGGGUAGGCAAGGUCUGAAUUCGUUGUAGGCCGGGUUAGGAUGGUGGUUUGCUGGGGCCUGACUGCCAAAUGCCUUUUUUUUGCACGGUCUGGGAGAGCGCACCGCAGUGUCCCCAGAGAGGUGGGGAAGGGAAUGGAGACGUUCUGCGUAAAACUCCAGUCCUGGCGUGAUAGCAAGACGGAAGGCACUCGGAAGGAGAUUAUUUUAACGCGUUUUAUCCCAUGAAUGGAGCAAAGUGCUCGAGGACAGUGGGGAGGACAGGGAAUGGAGGAAAUCCUGAUGCCCAGAGUUUGGACUGUGGUGGAAGGAAAGUGGAUUGGGCUGUGGUUUGCACCUCCGCAGGUCGCCCCCUUGUAUCCCGCCACCUCCACUUGCAGGGGAGGGAGGUUUCAGAAAUGGGUGUAAAGCGUGUGGAAGGCGCGCGCGCGGGAGAUGGGGGUGGGGCGGGGCGGUGUUUUGGCUUCUUGGCUACUCGGUGCAGGGCAGCCCCUUGCCCGGCUGGCUCCUGCCUCUCGGAGACCGGUCCGAAGAGCACAAGCCUAAUGGGCGGUGAAGGCUUUCCUGGACAGAUCAGCUUACAGCCUAGGUGCGCAGCGAUUCUAAAUUCGCGUCUUCCACGCCCAACCCAACGCUCUUUCUUAUAGAACACUUUAUUUGGAUUCAGAACUAGCGCCUUUGGGUUUCCUGAUUUUAUACGCAAAAACUCCCAGAAAGAAAAGUUCACGAGGUGACGUUCAUGCAGGGGGAAAGGGGAAUUAAAUUUCUUACAGUGGAAUUUGGAUCUAAAUUAUAUUGAUAUGUAUAUCUGCAUAUCGGCUGCCAUUUCCUGUGCGUUCCCCCAUUACUUCAGAUGGUGUCUUGAACAUCUUUUAAUUAUUAAAGAAAAUUAGAUUAGCAUAUUUAAUUAAUAUACCUGGCACGUGAGGAGCAAGCCAAAAAUGGUAUGAAAUGCUUAACCUGGGAGCUAAAACUGAAAUGAUUGGGUAUUGGUGGUUUGUGUACCCCGAUAUAUUUGUAUAAUUUCCUUUGUGUGGACAAGUUUAAUGGAAGCAAGUCCCUCAUCAUGAAUCCUUCAUUUUGGGCCACAAAGAGGGAGGGACAAAUACAUUUUGGCUCAGAAGACCGAAACAUUUUGUUCAUCCAAGCCUCUCUAAGGGCAUUGCUAGCAUUAAAGAGUGAAAUAUUCCAGGUCUGUCACAAUCCUUUUCUGUAUUGCCAAAAUUAUAAUAUUAGUAAGAUGAGAGCACUUUUUUUGAGAUCCUGGUUAUGGACUCUAACAGAAGUUUAUUUCUCAUACCCCAGGAGAAAAAUGAUUACUUCUUAAAUCUGAAAGUUUCUUCUCUAGGUGAUGGUAGAUUUUUUUUUUUUUUUGUAAGCCAGGCUGGACUGUGCAAAUUCCACAGGGAUAAAGAACAGAUUGGCAUUUCACUUUCCUUUCUGGAAAUGCAGAAAUCUGUCCAAUGAUUGUUCAAGGGUGUAACUGGUUAUUGCUUUCUUACUCCCAAAAGACAAAGUAGUUAAGCAAGGGGAGAAUAUUUGAGUGGCUUUUUAAGUUUUAACUUUUGGGGAUAUUUUUUCACAGAGAAAAGUAGGGAGCUGAUGGAACGUGGAAUCUUUGUCCCUUCUUCCUCUCAUCCAGGAAGCCCGCGUUGCCCACCGAGACAAAGGGACAGCAGGCAAUUGUUCUUCAUGCUGUUCUUGGAGAUUUGAAACAAUGAAGUAAUGCGUUUCUCAGAAAAGCAAAGAAAUCACUCAGCUUUACUAAGUAGACUGAGAAAUGACUAUAUUCUGCAAGAAGCCAGCCAGAUGGCCUCCCUUCAAGAGCUGAGCGUUCGCUGCGAGGGAAGUCCCGCCUCGAGGCAUCCUGGUUCCCAAGCAUCAAUCACACCAGGUCCCAGGGCCCAGAAUUGUAACCUAGUGGAUAGGUGACUUGGCUGUUUCAGGCCUCCCAUUCUUGCUACUGAAAAAUACUCGCUUUUCACAGUGGGGAGGGGCAAGCAUUUGGGCCGUAAGUGGUUGUGAAUGCAGCAAUGCUCUCCCUGGAUAUGAUAAAUCUUUCUUAAUUCACUUGCCUAAUACUUUGAUUUCUUUGUUUGCAGCAAAACUGGAGAAGGGCUCCGUGUAUAUAUAUCUAUGCACUGUAUAUGAAAAGAAAGGGCUUAGUUAGAAAAUUAAUUGUAUACGCAAGCUUGCAGAGGCAUACUGAAUUGUGAAACAUUU